GUAGGUGAACCUGCGGAAGGAUCAUUAACACGUAUCCAACGUAUCCACCCCUGCGCGGCUCUAUAUGUGAGUGGUAGAAACCAACUUUGUAAAACCUGCGUGGUUGCAAAGGUGCAAAUCCCAUGAUCAGAGGCAUGUUGGUCUGCGUGACUGAUAUGACACAGACCUAAUCAGCCUGCGCGGUUGAUGGUUAUCUGGUUAGAAAGAUAUGGUAAUACUACUUCUGCGAGAAUACAGCUUCAUAGCAGAC
rnacentral:misc_RNA from 1 species